rnacentral:lncRNA from 1 species
UUUGUUCUAUGGGUGGGUGGGGGGAGCUUGGAGCUGUCUUAAUCUGUAUUCUCUUGACUGAACAAUAAAUUUUUAAAUAUAUCUAGUUUCCUCUAUUAAACACUUAAACCUGGCCAUCUUAUUAACUCCUUCUCUCUUUUUAACAAGGUAAUGUUUUAAAUGUAUAUAGCUUUAGGACUAGCGAAAUGGCAGCAACAAAAAAUUGUGAGCAGUUGUUACUCUUUUAGUUUUUAAAAAACCUUUUACAUUGUAAGUACCCAAUCCAUUCUGUCCUGACGCAGUACAGUUUUGAUGUUAAUGUUGCUGAGAUGUCCUUAAUUUUCCGAACCUUCAUCUGCAUGUAUGUCUUUGUCUCUCUUGUCUAAUAUAAGCCAGUUAAGAUGCUUGAGACGAUCUUGCUUUAUAAAGCUAAGGUUCUAGCUUUAUGCUUUUGAAAAUGUUUACAGCACUAAAUGCUAGUCAGCUUUCUUCCCCGUAGCUUGUACACUUUCUUUGAAAAUCGAUCUAUUUGAAGAAAAACAGCCCUGUUUUUCUCGUCUUUGGUGUUGGGGGUUGGGGGGAGCUGGUGGGUGAGGGAAAGGAAGACCUUUUCUUUGUGUAGAGAGACUAAAGCCGUCACAGGAAACUAGAUUAAAACUGGAAAACAAGUCCUAGCUGGUUCCAGCAAACACCAACGUUAAGUGGGGGGUAUUUUCUAUGGUGGUUGGGCGGCUGGUGCGUCUUGUGCCUUUUGUUUGAUUUGACUGUAUUUUCGCCUUUUGUCUCUUAAUGACGAUCACACCAUUGCUAUAUCCAGAGCAGUAAACAGUCCUCAGCGAAGCCGCCUUUUUGCCUACCCAACCCUGGAAAGUUUGCAGAAGUGGAAGGAGCAGAACGUGAGGGUGUAACUUACAAAAAGGUUCUGGGCCGGAGAAGGGGCGACGUUCGGGCACCCCCCGAAUGGACAAUCUUUCCUUCUGUCAACGGCAGGGGCAGGCCUAGUUUGACUCUGACAGUCCUCCCACUAAGCUUCUGUUGUCAGGCAUUUGGGGCGUGUAAGUCUCUGCCGAAUAUAGCAGCAUACGAGAGGAUCCACUUGCAAGUAUUUCCCAGUUGUGUGUUCUUCGGCGGGGGGAGGGCCCUGGGUGCCGCCUACUUCUGAAAGACACAGGUCACUGUCAGAAAGCCCAACUGUGCUGUGGCCUUCCCUCCAGCCGCCCCCGUGGGGCAUGUGGGGUGACAGUGUGAGCCGUCCUCUGAUGUCUGGCUGCUAGAGAGGCAAAGAACAGAGACCCGAGGUUCC